CGUAGCGCGUAUUCCCGCGGCCCGCGAAACGAGGAAGCAGGAAUGCCAAUCACCGAAACGAGCGCGUUCCGAAAACAGCACGAAGCACGGUGACGUCGGUGACGAGCGCGCGCGAAGCACAAACACUUCCUACCGGUGCGAGAUUCCUCGGAAGAAUGAUAACUGAGUCACUCACGCAGGUAACACUACUCCGAGCGUUGACGGAAACAAGUGACAAGUCCGCUCAUCGCCAGAAACAACGUUGAAAACGCGCCGAUCUUCGAGGUACGGAGCUUUCGAGUUCAACGGUCACGCCGCUAGUACGGACUGCGCAGGUUUAACUGGCUGUAUUCUACGUUCUGCGUUCUGUCUCGGUGGUGUCUGGUCGACGUAGCUGUCUCUCGAAACGCGAGUGUUAUAUACAUAUAUCGCGAACACGUAGUGAUCAUUAGCCUGGCGAUUACGUGCAAUCAGAUGCAACUCCCGGGCCGGCCGAGCGCGCGGCCGCCGCGGCCAGUAUAAUAUCCCCUCCAGCUGGCUAGUUCAGACACGAACCAUUAGCACGGACGCAAACCAUGUGCGGUUACCGAGCGAUACGACGUAGUUGAGUUGCACUUUCUCAG